UCGCACUGUAGGAGAAAAAAAUUCACCAAUUUACCUGUUGGGCAACUUCUCCAAUGACAGAGAGCCCAGUUCGAUCCCUUAGGGUAUCCCCUGCCAUCGCUUUGUCAAAGACAUCCCUCUUCUCUGUCUUUAAGGCCUUUUACAGAAGGAGCAAGCCUACCCCUUUCCCCAUACCCUCUGUGGUGGCCAAUGACCACUUCCUCUCAGAGGCACCCACUAGUACAGUUCUCUGGCCUUCACCUCCCUCUCCAUCAACAACCAGGUUGCAGAAAACACUUCUCUUCAAUAGUUAGGGAGUCUGGAACAUCCACGAGUGCUCUAUCAGUUCGUGUGACUCACCUCCAGCAGUUCACCCUGAGAAGCAUCUCCCAACACAGUGGUUUCCACCCUGUCCCCCACCAGACCCCACACAACAGGAAGAGGCUUGGUCAGAUCUCAAAUGCUACCCUCACUCUGAGCUCUCAUUCAGGGCCCAGAACCUAGCCUCGGGCAACAGCUACCCUGAGAGCAGAAUCUAGUUAGGGGUGAGGAAUCCCAAAGAACGAACAGAGCUCUAGGAUGGACUCUAAAUUCUCUUUGCCCUGCUCAUCUCCUCCACAGGCUUUGCUGGGAUAAGGGAUCUUGGACCUGUAAACACUCCUGAAGGCCUCUUGCCAAAGGCUCUGUUUACCCUGGACAAGCCUUGGAAAAGCUGUAAAUCUCACACCAGCUCUCCUGCCAGGACAUGUCCCUCAGGGAAACCAAGACAAAGCUCAGACUGACAGGCAGGCAGUUCAUGCCCCCGGAGCCUCCCAGCCCUUCCCACACCAAGGGACAGCUGGUGACAUCCUGCUCUCAUGGGCAGCUCCCAUACAGGGAGUGUCGUUAAGAGAAGGGAGGACUUGAACCAAGCUUGGGCUAAUCUUGACCCCCUGGACUGGCCCAGGCCACAAGCCUUCCCUUACAGGAGCAAGAGGCUGCAAGACAAAUGCAAGCAUCAGAACAGCGCCAGCAUGGCACAGUGGGGCCAGCACAGCCAAGGGUCCCUGGUACAGGGAGCGGGCAGCACAGCCAGAGGUGCCCCCACCACUGGUCCCGGGGAGCAAGCAGCCAGUUAGAAGACCAGGGAACUCUAUUCCUCUUCCAAAGAAGCAAGCAGGUAGAUGUGGGAGGAAGAGAAGCCAAGAGGCCUCCUCUAGCACACACAGCACUACAGCUCUGAGUACCAUAAACUGCCGUUGACUCUCCAAGGCAUCAUGUCAAGAUCUAUCACUUAUUUUUCACAACAUAUGAGGUAGGUGCUUCCCUCCCUCCCCCUUCCCACUAUGGAUAAGCUCUGGAAAGCUAAGUCCUUCACAGCUCCUGAAGGUAGCACGGCUGGGGCUUAAUCUCAGGUCAGUCUUACCCGGAACCCUUAUUUGGAAUACAACACGAGGCUGAGCCUCAGGGAAACCUACCCCAUCGUAGUUCCUGGGCUACCGCAAUUUCACCACUGUCCCCUCAGACCUGGCUUCUGCCUCUGCCCUUCUUCCUGGUUGCUGCCAAGGCCAGCCUCACUGCACAGCCCAGCUGUUUUCUGCUCCCUCCCUCCACCCACUCAAAGGUAUUUCUCUGGCCCCAGACUCAGGGCCCCUGCCUGGUAUUAACUGGGUCUCCAGCCGACUAAGAUGGGCAGCUGGGUUGGGCUGACAGCUCUGGGGGUGAUCCCUGAGGGGCUUCAGAACGAGCCAGGAUUUGGAAGCCAGAAUGUGCCUCCCUCACACUUACUGGCUGAGGAGCAGAGAGAAGGCUGGGGCUGCAUGCCUGCAGAGGGGGCUGUUCUGUCCCAGGAGCUCCGUCCUUCAGGCACCGAGCUGCCAUUCCCAGUGCGGAGCGGGGCAGCUAGCCAGCCAGGGCAGGGCAGGGCAAGGCAGAGCAGCCAAAACAAACAGAACAAGGCAGGUGAGCGAGCAAGCUGGACAGAACCCGAGCCCGGGGCGCUGCAGAGCCGGAGCAAAGUGAUGUUCAGGCUGCUGUGGGCACUGGACUGCACCCCACUCCGCUGCUCCUGCCAGAGGCCUCCCAGCCGGAAGCACCAGGAAGGUGCACAGAUGGACCUGGGCUUGCGGCUUCCAGCCGAGCCUUAAACAGCCUGCACAGAGACCCCUGUUCCCAAGAAGACCUUCGAGGGCCACAAGCCUGACAGCCCAGUCUAAAGGGUGUCUUCUACUCUGCCAGCAGCACCAUAAUUGAACUGAUCUGACCUGGCUCCCAGCAACCAGGUGGCAGCAUUCCUUAUUACUGUAUAUGUUUCUGCUUUUGAUUUUUGUUGUUUUGUUUUUGGCUUCCAAAAGUCCAGCGCCUCUUAUUGCCCAUGGACAUGCUUCAGCUCGGCCCUUCAACAUCCUCCGUUUCCUGUGGUGCCUGCCUCAACGUAACUUACUGAAGGCAAAAGGAACAACUCCAGGAGGCCAACUCAAAGAGGACAGAGAAUACCGCUGGUAGGGCCUGCCAUGCUCCCCAUGCUCCAGGACACUCUGGGAAGCCCCAAAACCCAGGCUGUAGUCCUCACGGCUCACCAAGACAGCUGAGUGUGGCCUCACAGACUUACAGUUCUAACUCCCACCCACGGCCAACUCUCAGGACCAGAGUACCCAACUCAUUCCAGAGGGCCUGAGAAUGCCUUGGGCUUUGCUUUUUUUCUUUUGGUGCUGAGGACUGAACAUGCUUUUAUGUGCUCUACCAUUAGGCAACAUAUCCUCAGUCCUUAUCCGUUUUUCUGUUUUGUUUUGUGUGUGUGUGUUGGGAAUUAGAACUCAGGACCUUGCAUUUGCCAGGCAGGUACUGUACUGCUGAGUUACAUCCCUGGCUUACCCCUUAUUUACUUGUUUGUCUUUUUUUCUUUUUUUAUCGGUACCAGGGAUCAAACUCACGACCGCACACUUGCAAGGCAGGCGCUUAUGCCGCUGAGCUAAAUCCCCAGCCCCCAUUAUUUUGGUUUUGAAACUGAGUUUUACAUCCUGGGAAUUGCAUUGGGAAACCAGGAUGCCCUACUGGGUGCCCAACUUCUGCAGAAACCUGAGAUGCCCCUGUUGUUGGACAACACAUCAUUAUUAGCAACAGAAGUUCUGAGCCUUGGCUCCAGGAAGAGCUAAUUUAACUAAUCUAGACUUAGGUCAAAGAAAAAGACUUUCAUUCAGCCUAGCAACACCAGACAGGGGCCUUAUAUCUUGGCCCAUGGAAAGUUGUUUUCAUGCCAAAUCCUCUCCUGGCAAUGAGCAUCCACCAAUUCCAGUUCUGAAGACAGACAAGGUAGGUGGCCCGUUGCAGUUGAGGUAUUGGGGUCACAGCCGGGGUUCCUUUUCCCUCCAAGGACCAGCACCUACCUUUGAGGUCCUCAUCUUCUGUAGUAGUGUUGCAGCUCUCUGUGGAGCCCUGUGGGCCAAAAAGAAUGUGUUUCUAUAUACUCGAAGCUUGAAAGCUCAAAGGAGCAAGCAAAACAAAAGCAAAGCAUUAGCUACUACAAGAAGGGCCACGAGGAAUCUCAGAAGUUUCUACUUCCACCCUUGCUUUCUGAGUUAUGAAGCUCUGGGCUCCCAAAUGCUGUCCUACUCUUUUCCAACUCAGUACAUUACCCCAUGGACCCAAUUACUCAACACAUGAAAACCUGCAGUCACCCUUGAUUCUUCUCUCUUUCCUUUAUGUUCUGGUCAACUAAUCUAAAAUAAAAUCUUUUGGUUCUAGCUGUAAAAUAAA